rnacentral:rRNA from 1 species
GCGAUCAUACCUAGCACUAAUGCAUCGGAUCCCAUCAGAACUCCUAAGUUAAGCGUGCUUGGGCGAGAGCAGUACUAGGAUGGGUGACCCCUUGGGAAGUCCUCGUGUUGCACCU